AGAGACAGCAGCCGCCGCGGUAAUACGUAGGUGGCAAGCGUUGUCCGGAAUUAUUGGGCGUAAAGGGCUCGCAGGCGGUUUCUUAAGUCUGAUGUGAAAGCCCCCGGCUCAACCGGGGAGGGUCAUUGGAAACUGGGAAACUUGAGUGCAGAAGAGGAUAGUGGAAUUCCACGUGUAGCGGUGAAAUGCAUAGAGAUGUGGAGGAACACCAGUGGCGAAGGCGACUCUCCGGUCUGUAACUGACGCUGAGGAGCGAAAGCGUGGGGAGCGAACAGGAUUAGAGACCCCCGUAGUCCCUGUCUCUUAUAA
rnacentral:rRNA from 1 species